rnacentral:rRNA from 1 species
ACUCCCAACUCCGGUUGAUCCUGCCGGACCCCACUGCUAUCGGGGUAGGACUAAGCCAUGCGAGUCGGCACCCUCCAGCCACCGGAGAGGGUGCGGCGGACGGCUCCGUAACACGUAGCUAACUUACCCUCAGGACGGGAAUAACCCCGGGAAACUGGGGCUAAUUCCCGAUAGGUGAGGAGGCCUGGAAUGGUCCCUCACCCAAAGGGUUCUGGAACCACGCUUCCAGAACCGCCUGAGGAUAGGGCUGCGGCCGAUCAGGUAGUUGGCGGGGUAACGGCCCACCAAGCCUAUAACCGGUACGGGCCGUGAGAGCGGGAGCCCGGAGAUGGGCACUGAGACAAGGGCCCAGGCCCUACGGGGCGCAGCAGGCGCGAAACCUCCGCAAUGCGC